CCUACGGGAGGCAGCAGUGAGGAAUAUUGGUCAAUGGACGAGAGUCUGAACCAGCCAAGUCGCGUGAAGGAUGACUGCCCUAUGGGUUGUAAACUUCUUUUGUCAAGGAAUAAAACGAGGCACGUGUGCCUUUUUGCAUGUACUUUAUGAAAAAGGAUCGGCUAACUCCGUGCCCGCAGCCGCGGUAAUACGGAGGAUGCGAGCGUUAUCCGGAUUUAUUGGGUUUAAAGGGAGCGGAGAUGGGUUGUUAAGUCAGGUGUGAAAGUGUGGGGCUGAAACCCAAAAUUGCCAUUGAUACUGGCAGUCUUGAGUACAGUAGAGGUAAGCGGAAUGCGUGGUGUAGCGGUGAAAUGCUUAGAUAUCACGAAGAACCCCGAUUGCGAAGGCAGCUUACUA
rnacentral:rRNA from 1 species